rnacentral:rRNA from 1 species
CCUACGGGAGGCAGCAGUGAGGAAUAUUGGUCAAUGGUCGGGAGACUGAACCAGCCAAGCCGCGUGAGGGAGGAAGGUACAGAGUAUCGUAAACCUCUUUUGUCAGGGAACAAAGACUGGGACGCGUCCCCGGAUGAGUGUACCUGAAGAAAAAGCAUCGGCUAACUCCGUGCCAGCAGCGGCGGUAAUACGGAGGAUGCGAGCGUUAUCCGGAUUUAUUGGGUUAAAAGGGUGCGCAGGCGGUCUGUUAUGUCAGCGGGCAAAGCCCGGGGCUCAACCCCGGACCGCCGUUGAAACUGGCAGUCUCGAGUUGGAGAGAAGAAUGCGGAAUGCGCGGUGUAGCGGUGAAAUGCAUAGAUAUCGCGCAGAACUCCGAUUGCGAAGGCAGCAUGCCGGCUCCACACUGACGCUGAGGCACGAAAGCGUGGGUAUCGAACAGGAUUAGAUACCCUUGUAGUC